AGGCCCUCAAGGCUCCUGGAAGACCACCAGGUCGAUAGGCCGGAAGUGUAAGUCCGGUAACGGAUUGAGCUAACCGGUACUAAUCAGCCGUGAGGCUUGGCCAAAU
rnacentral:rRNA from 1 species